ACGGCCUCUGCCGCGGGGCCGGAGCGCCGCCUGCUGCCCGGUGCUGUCCGAUACCUCGGCGGCAUCGGUUGGAUCCGCGACCCGAGCGGCGGCGGAGUACCGGGAGAGCGCCGGGCCGCAGCCCAGUCCCGGUACCCACGCGAGUCGUGAGCGCCGCCAGGUGCCGAUGGAGGUCGGCGGCCUGCCAGCGGAGCUGUGGCAGCUCAUCUUAUCCUACCUGCGCCUCCCCGACCUGGGCCGCUGCAGCUCGGUCUGCAGGACCUGGUAUGAGCUCGUCCUCAGCCUGGACAAAACGCGCUGGCGGCAGCUCUGCCUGGGCUGCCUGGAGCACAGACACCCCAACUGGCCUAACCAGCCCUGCGUGGAGCCGCGGUCGUGGAGAGAAGCCUUCAAACAGCACUACCUGUCCUCCAAAACCUGGACCAAAAACACGCAGGACCCGGAGUCCUCCAACUGCCUCUCCCUUUUCCGGAGGAGGAAGGGCCGGCGCCGGCUCUGCGUCGGCGCUGGGGGUGAGUUUAGCAGCCUCCGGGCUGCCCUGGCUGCUGCCAGCCCUUACGACUGCCUCGUGCUGCUGCCCGGCGUGCACGAGGAGCAGAGUGAGGUGCUGCUGAAGGUGCCUGUGGAAGUCGUGGGGCAAGGCAAGCUGGGGGACGUGGCGCUGCUGGUGAGCAUUGACCAGCACUGCCCCACCGCCCGCCUCUGCAACGUGGUCUUCAUGCCGGCCCGCUUCACCUCAGUGGUGUACAAGACAACCUCAGGCUAUGUCCAGUUCGACAAUUGCAAUUUUGAAAGUGGGCAGCUGCAGAUCCAUGCACCAGGGACGUGCCAGGUGAAGUUCUGCACCUUCAGCCAGUCCAGCAUCUACCUCCGCAGUGUGGCCCUCUGCAUCCUGGAGAACUGUGAGUUCACCGGCAGCGAGAACGCCUCUGUAACUGUGGAGGGCUGCCCGAGCUCGGACCGUAACUGGGCCUGCAAGCACCUAGCCGUGCUGGCCAAGUCCUGCGCAGCAUCCAUGCGGGAGCCCGACCCAGCCGACUGCCCCAUGGCCAAGCUGGAUGGCUUGGGGGAAUUGCUGCUGGGGCCAGUGAGAACAUGUGAGAUUGUCGUAGGGGAAGAACAAAGCAGCUUACUCUCUGCUGCGGGUGCUCAAGACCUGCUUGGCUCAGCCCAGGAGGACUCUGAAUUCGGAGAGAACCUGCAGGCAGCAAAGGAGGAGGAGUACUCGGUCCUCGACUCAAACUCCAGUGACAGUGAUUUACACAGUGACGAUGAAGAGGAUGCUCAGGCUAUGUACAAACUGCCCUAUCAAGACCACAGCCUGAGUCACACGCUUGCUGACAUUAUGGACAGCAGACUCCAAAGCAACAGACUGCAUGCCCUUCAGAAGGACCUUAAGCUCAAGUCUCUGCAGCAGGAGCUGCAGCAGGACAAGGAGGCCCAGUCUUUGGCCAACUCUCUGCAAGGCUGCAUCAUCCGACAGUGCCUUUUCAGGGACGGGAAGGGAGGAAUAUUCAUUUAUUCACGAGGGCAAGCAAAACUGGAAGAAAGCAUCUUCAGGGAUCUGACCUACGCAGUGCGCUGCAUACAAAACAGUAAGGUCAUCAUGCUGAGGAAUGACAUCCACCAUUGCAAAGCAUCAGGGAUAUUCCUGCGCCUGUCAGCAGGAGGCCUGAUUGCAGACAACAACAUCCAUUCGAACUCUGAGGCUGGAGUGGACAUUCGUAAGGGCGCCAACCCCCUUGUUCUGUGCAAUAAGAUACACAGUGGCCUUCGCUCGGGCAUUGUCGUCGUUGGCAACGGAAAAGGCAUCAUCCGUAGCAAUCAGAUCUAUGGGAAUAAAGAAGCUGGCAUUUAUAUUCUGUAUAAUGGAAACCCUGCUGUGAGUGGGAACCAUAUUUUCCAGGGACUGGCUGCUGGAAUAGCAGUGAAUGAGAACGGGAGAGGCCAAAUCACAGGGAAUGUCAUCUGCGAGAACCAGUGGGGCGGUGCGGACAUCCGCCAUGGGGGUGACCCCAUCCUCAGGAACAACCUCAUCUCCUACGGCUACUCGGAUGGCGUGGUGGUGGGCGAGCGCGGGAAGGGCCUCAUUGAAGGAAAUGCCAUUUACGGCAACAAGGGCUGCGGUGUGUGGAUGACGUCCUCCAGCCUCCCGCACCUCAUCAACAACCAGAUCAGCCACAACAGCAUCUACGGAGUGGCGGUGUUCUGCCACAAGGACGACGCUGGUGACUACCCCCCCGGUCAGGGGGGCAGCGAGAACUUCCAGGAGGAUAGGGAAGGUGCUGGCGGGGAGAACGACCCCAACCGUGAGGAGGAGCACCCGGCUGCCCGGCGUCCCAUCAGCGUGGCACUGGUGGAGUUGAACAGCAUCAACCACAACGGAGCUGCUGGGUUGCACGUCAAGAGCAGUGAGGCGCUCAACGUCAUCGCCAACGUAAUUCAUGCCAACCGUGACGGCGGGGUGGUGGUGCUGCAGAGCAGCCAGCUGACGCGUGUUGCGAACAACAGCAUCUCCUGCAACAGCCGGGGAGGCGUGCUUGUCGAGGCCGAGUGCCGCGUGGAGCUGCGUGGCAACGGCAUCUAUGAGAACAGCAGCCACGGUAUCGUCUCCAAGGGAGAGGGCAUCAUCAUGGAGAACGACAUCAUCGGCAACCACAGGUGUGGCCUUCAGCUGCUCCAAGCAGCGGACAUGAAGUGAUCCACAGGUGGCUCGUCACAUCUGUCUGAUGUUUAAACCUUGGUAAAGGACAGCUCAGUCAUCAUUUCCCACAUGCGGAUUCGCAGAUAGCUUGUAGAUGAGACCUCUCUUCUCUCAGAGCAGCAAAGGGAAUCCUGUGCAUUUUGGUGCAAUGACGUUCGACAAAGUCCAUCUUCUCCCAGGCUUGUCCCCUGUGUUUAACUGAGUGGCACAGUCAAGUGGGUGAUCCUGUAGGCCUCUCUUGGAGAUUUGCAGGCUGUGUGAGCUGUGCUGAAGAACUGGAUUUAUUGGAACUAGAUUUUUUGGAAGUUAGAUGCAGUGUUCCAGCAUCUAGCCAGUUCCCAAGGUUAAUACCUGGCUCAAGGUUGCCUCCGUUCUGUUCUUUAUUGAGGUGAAGCCAUCGGGCAUCAAAAUGAUAGAUAAAUGCAAUUUAACUCAUCGUCAGGGACCCCUAAAAUGAGUAUACAGAAAGCCCCGCCAAGACAAAUGCUCUGCAUGAGUCCUGCAGGGGCUGCAGACUCCUUUUGAAAACCAUGCCUGUAGAAAAACAUUGUCCUCUGGACCAGAAGGUAAAAACCACUGAAUUUUCUGUGGUGCCAGCUGUCCAGGAGCACGCAGGCAGGAUACAUAUUGCAGGGUUCAUUUGGGGAGCAGAGCAGGGGGCAUAGGUCCUUGUUGAAGUACUGGCGAUGUCGUGGUGCUGUUGUUUCUUGUCUGCCCACUGGCAGAGCCCGAGAAAUGCCUGAGAGCAGGUGAGAUGGUGUGCGGUACUGGGUGGGGAGAAGUGCUGGGCAAGGAGCGUUGCAGCAUCUGUUGCUGUGGAUCCAAGGAGGAGAAAGGACCAAACUGAUCUUCCAGAUGGUGGCAAAGCAAGAGCUGUGGCCUUGUCUUUCUUGGGAAGAGGAGACUCCUAAGUGCUCUUUUUUCAUAUACGAAGAAGUGACAGCCUGUAAGUCCAGCCGUUUGAAACCUGAAGGGCAAGGAGCAGUAGCAGGUUCGUGUUUAGCAGCAUCUGUGCUUGUGUUUCACCACGGGGUUCAGUACCAGCUUCAGGGAAGCCUGUAGCAUCUAGCACUGACAGCAACUGAGCUGCCAGCUGGGGCCACCAGUAAUGUGUGGAAGGUCUUGGGAAAGCUUGUGUGCGCAUGGCUAUGGCGCAUCCAGUCUGAACCCUUGGUAUGCUGCGAAACUGCCAGGGAGUGCUAGUGAGCCUGCAGAAGAGAUUUGGUGUUUGGUUUUGUGCUGACUAAAGAGCCCUUUGAACGGUGUCCUGCUUGGGCCAUCCCAUCUAAAGCUUAUUUUGCAGGUGACGAAGAACAGGAUCCAGUCCUUUCAGGACUAUGGGAUUGCUCUCUUUGAUGAAGCCAAAGGCCUGGUGCAGGAAAACCUCAUUUUCCAAGGGAGAUCCAAGAAAUCCAUUUUGCGGCCGGUGUCAAAUGCAGAGGAUUGCGUCAUCCAAAACAACAUGCUUCUCACCUUCAAGAAAAGGUUUGAUAUGGAGUGCAUGCU